rnacentral:rRNA from 1 species
UAAUACGGAGGAUCCAAGCGUUAUCCGGAUUUAUUGGGUUUAAAGGGUGCGUAGGUGGGAGAAUAAGUCAGAGGUGAAAGCUAGCAGCUUAACUGUUAAAUUGCCUUUGAUACUGCUUUCCUUGAGUCUAGUUGGCGUUGGCGGAAUGUGACAUGUAGCGGUGAAAUGCGUAGAUAUGUCACAGAACACCGAUCGCGAAGGCAGCUAACGAAGCUAGUACUGACACUGAUGCACGAAAGCGUGGGGAGCAAACAGGAUUAGAUACCCUGGUAGUCCACGCCGUAAACGAUGAUAACUCGACGUUGGCAAUAUACCGUUCAGCGUCCAAGCGAAAGCGUUAAGUUAUCCACCUGGGGAGUACGAUCGCAAGGUUG